ensembl:snRNA U6 U6 spliceosomal RNA
GUGCUCACUUCGGCAGCACAGCUACUAAAACCAGAACAUACAAAGAAGAGGAGUUUGGUGCCUGCAUAAGGAUGACAUGGAAAUGAAUGAGGCAUUCCAUAUUUUU